GAUGAGGAACGUAGCGAAAUGCGAUAAGUAAUGUGAAUUGCAGAAUUCCGUGAAUCAUCGAAUCUUUGAACGCACAUUGCGCCCCCUGGUAUUCCGGGGGGCAUGCCUGUCCGAGCGUCAUUGCAACCCUCAAGCGCGGCUUGUGUGUUGGGCUUCGUCCCCCCGUGGACGUGCCCGAAAGGCAGUGGCGGCGUCCCGAAUGGUGCCCGAGCGUAUGGGAACUCUCUUCCGCUCGAACCGGCCCAUUCGGCGCUGGUCGGACCCCAAUUUUUUUUUACCGGUUGACCUCGGAUCAGGUAGGGAUACCCGCUGAACUUAAGCAUAUCAAUAAGCGGAGGA
rnacentral:misc_RNA from 1 species